rnacentral:rRNA from 1 species
UGUGCACCCUUCCGUUAGUUCCAUGGCCUGGGUGGGCUCUGUCCUCCUGGCGUGGUUCUACGUCUUUACACACACACUACAACAAAGUCUUAUGGAAUGUAUGUCGCGUUUAACGCAAUGAAAUACAACUUUCAGCAACGGAUCUCUUGGCUCUCGCAUCGAUGAAGAACGCAGCGAAAUGCGAUAAGUAAUGUGAAUUGCAGAAUUCAGUGAAUCAUCGAAUCUUUGAACGCACCUUGCGCCCUUUGGCUAUUCCGAAGGGCAUGCCUGUUUGAGUAUCAUGAACACCUCAACUCUCAUGGCUUGCCAUGAUGAGCUUGGACUUUGGGGGUCUUGUUGGCCUGUGAGCCAGCUCCUCUUAAAUGAAUUAGCUUGCCGGUGUUUGGUGGCGUCACGGGUGUGAUAACUAUCUACGCUUGUGGUUUCCCACCAGGUAACCUUCAGCAAUGGAGGUUCGCCGGAGCUUAUAAAUGUCUCUCCUCGGUGAGGACACAUUUUGACCAUUUGAUCUCAAAUCAGGUAGGACUACCCGCUGAACUUAAGCAUAUCAAUAAG